CCUGGUGAAAUUAGCGCUGUGGAACCACCCGAUCCCAUCCCGAACUCGGAAGUGAAACGCAGCUGCGCCGAUGGUAGUGUGGCUCAAGCCAUGCGAGAGUAGGUC
rnacentral:rRNA from 1 species